GCUCCAAUGGCGUAUAUUAAAGUUGUUGCGGUUAAAAAGCUCGUAGUUGGAUUUCUGCCGAGGGGAGCCGGUCCGCACUAUGUGCGUGUAUCUGGUCUUGCCUUGGCAUCCUCUCGAGGGGGACGUUAGUGCGCUUGAUUGCGUGCUGCGGGGGCUCGGGGGACUUUUACUUUGAGGAAAUUAGAGUGUUCACUGCAGGC
rnacentral:rRNA from 1 species